UCGGAGAUUGGUAAGCUUCUGCAGGACGGCCAUGUUAGGCAGUGGCCCCAGGGGAACCUCGCCCUUUUGCAAUACCUAUACUGGGAGAAGGUGCAACCAAUCACCGGUCCAAAAUAUGAUCCGUUGGCAUUGUUGAGCCCGCUGAUGAGGAACUGGACGGAAGAUAUGGCUGUGAGAAGAGACAAAUACGACUAUGAAUAUGGUCGUGGUGUUGGGAUGAUCGAUGACAACAUUACAGAGGAGUAUAGGCUGAAAAAAAUUGCAGAAGAAGAAGCUCAAAAAACCAAGAAAGCUAGUAGUAAAAAAUCU